AGCAAAAUAAUCUAAGUAAAAGGAUGUAAGGCUCAUGACCUUAAAGUGCUGGUUUCAGUUUUUGCUU
rnacentral:tRNA from 1 species